UGGGAUGUGGUGUAACGUUAGCACGCGGCAGACUUACAAUUCCGAGGUGCAGGUUCGAUUCCUGUCAUCCCAACCA
rnacentral:tRNA from 1 species